UCAGUCGGGCGCUGAGGGGCUCUUCUGACAUGUCUGGUGGCUCUGCGGAUUAUAACAGAGAACAUGGCGGCCCAGAGGGAAUGGACCCCGAUGGUGUUAUCGAGAGCAACUGGAAUGAAAUUGUUGAUAACUUUGAUGAUAUGAAUUUAAAGGAGUCUCUUCUUCGGGGCAUCUAUGCUUACGGUUUUGAGAAGCCUUCAGCUAUUCAGCAAAGAGCUAUUAUUCCUUGCAUUAAAGGGUAUGAUGUGAUUGCUCAAGCUCAGUCAGGUACUGGCAAGACAGCCACAUUUGCUAUUUCCAUCCUGCAACAGUUGGAGAUUGAGUUCAAGGAGACCCAAGCACUAGUAUUGGCCCCCACCAGAGAACUGGCUCAACAGCAGGAAAGAAGUUAAGAGAACUUUGUUUUCUGUGGCAGCUCCAAAAUGGAUCAAAAUGUUCGUUUUGGAUGAAGCAGAUGAAAUGCUGAGCCGGGGGUUUAAGGAUCAAAUUUAUGAAAUUUUCCAAAAACUAAAUACUAGUAUUCAGGUUGUGCUGCUGUCUGCCACAACGCCAACUGAUGUUUUAGAAGUAACCAAAAAAUUCAUGAGAGAUCCAACUCGGAUUCUGGUGGAAAAAGGAGAAAUUGACCCUUGAAGGAAUCAAACAGUUCUACGUCAAUGUUGAACGAGAGGAAUGGAAGUUGGAUACACUUUGUGACUUGUAUGAAACAUUGACCAUUAUGCAGGCUGUUAUUUUUCUCAAUACAAGGCAUAAAGUGGACUGACUCACUGAGAAAAUGCAUGCCAGGGACUUCACAGUUUCUGCUCUGCAUGGUGACAUGGACCAGAAGGAAAGAGAUGUCAUCAUGAGAGAAUUCCGAUCAGGCUCAAGCCGUGUUCUGAUCACUACUGACUUGUUGGCUCGUGGGAUUGAUGUACAACAAGUAUCUUUGGUCAUAAACUAUUAUCUACCUACCAAUCGUGAAAACUAUAUUCACAGAAUUGGCAGAGGGGGUCGAUUUGGGAGGAAAGGUGUGGCUAUAAACUUUGUUACUGAAGAAGACAAGAGGAUUCUUCGUGACAUUGAGACUUUCUACAACACUACAGUGGAGGAGAUGCCCAUGAAUGUGGCUGACCUUAUUUAAUUCCUGGGAUGAGAUAGUUUGAAUGCUGUGCUCGCUGUUGCCGAAUAGGCGAUCACAACGUGGCAUUGUGCUUCUUUCUUUGGGAAUAUUUGAAUCUUGUCUCAAUGCUCAUAACGGAUCAGAAAUACAGAUUUUGAUAGCAAAGCGACAUUAGUCGUGAGCUCUUGUGAGGAGGAAGGUCACUGGCUUUUUCCUCUAGAGUUAGACUGUUGGGG